UGAGGUUCUGUAAAAAGAAAUACUAAUAGAUGCAAGGGGAAACGAUAAGCACAUGCUUUCUCAUUAUGUAUGAAGGGCAACAAAGGCAUGCGAGUUGUUUUCAAGACAAGUAAUGUCCCAUACAAUUAUCUUCGCGCAAGGAAAGCAUAACUGCAUACGGAUAGGAAAAAGAAUACACGAAAGCACCCAUUACAGCGGCAAUGGGCAUAACAUAUUAAUAGUUUCCAGGCAGUCUGUGCGCAAUUGAAUCGUCGAAGGGUUGGUACUAUGUAAAAGUGUGCUACCACCCCUACUCCAAUUUCCAUUGCAGGCAGAGUUUGCGUCAAUUCACUCUUCAAUCGAAACGCCAUUACACGUUCGAGUCCAAACGAAUCGCUUCAUGACAAAAGUGUGAAUUGUUUCUCUUCUGAGGGUCCAUUUAUUCGUUUAUCAUCGAGUUCUCUUGCUCGUAAAAUGCGUAAUUGUUUUCAUCUUGCUUCGCUAUGUUUGGGAACGUAACUCCAGAGAGGGCCAUAGAGUUUACUUGGUACAGCGUAGCUUUGAACUACUGUUGGCCACCGCCAUCGACAGCCACCAGACCUCGGAUGGUUUAUUUCAAGAUCGUGAGGAUCCUAGCGAUUCUUAGCGCCUUUGCACUCGUUCUACCUCUUUUGUACUCACUCCACGUGCACCGGAACGAUCCAGUCAUCUUCACCAAAGCGGCCUGCCUCGCAGCAUCUGUUUCACAGAUCCCGAUGCAAUCAUUUUUCUGCAUUGUUCAUUACGAUCGCCUCCAGGCGUUGACCGAACAGAUGGUGGAUUACUGCGCGAAAGCGAGGUCGUACGAAAGGUUCGUGCUGCAACGUUACGUCAACAAGUACUCAACGUUCUACGGGGUGUCAGCGACUUGGUUCUACUUGACGGCGACUGUCGUCGUCGUGGGAUCAUUGUUCGUAGAUCAGCCCUUCCCAACGGAAGCAGAGUACCCGUUUCCUGUAAAUUUCAUGCCUCUGAGGACGACGCUCUUCAUCCACCAAGCGUUUGUUGGUUUGCAGUGCGCCGCCAUCGUUUGCAUGAACAUGUUCGCUGCCCUCCUUUUGUUGUUCGCAGCUGCUAGGUUUGAAAUUUUAAUGCUGGAACUGCGCUCUGUUCAGGACAUCGGAACGUUGAUACAAUGCAUACGAAAGUACUACCAUGUGAGAAAAUAUGCACAGGAAGUGGUUACGUUUGUGCAGUAUACAGCACUCUCCACGACGAUAGUAGCCAGCGUUCUACUCGUACUCAGUGGUUUUCACAUCGUCGGAGUAAGUCUGCAGCCGUACUGUUGUUCUCUUUUAACCGCAUUGUGGAAACAUGAAAAGACUUUCUUGCUUCACAGCGACAACCGCUUGCAAUCAAAGUGCAAUUUAUAUUCCUGGCUUUGACUGCACUGGUAGAGGUUUUCAUGUGCGCCUGGCCAGCUGACAACUUGUUGGAGGUGAGCGAAAGUACUAUUCGAAGCUUGUACGAUAUGGGAUGGUACGAACAAUGUUUGAAAAUGCAGAAGACAGUGAUGCAAACGUUGCUACCUCAGAAGCCGAUAGUAAUCAGUAUCGCGUGUGUCAUUCCAGUCUUGUCGUUG